rnacentral:rRNA from 1 species
GCGCGCAAAUUACCCACUCCCAGAACGGGGAGGUAGUGACGAUAAAUAACGGAACGUAUCUCGAUGAGACGCGUUAUCGGAACGAUUGAGCCGUAUACGAGCUCGACUAAAGCUAUUGGAGGGCAAGUCUGGUGCCAGCAGCCGCGGUAAUUCCAGCUCCAAUAGCGUAUAUUAAAGCUGCUGCGGUUGAACCGCUCGUAGUUGGAUUGCGAUUUUCGGCCACGGUCCUCUAAGUCAAGAGGAUUGGCUCUGCCGCCGUUGGUCAUGAUCGGUAUUGUCAUGCUUGUCCUUGAUGCUCUUUGCUGAGUGUCAUGGGUGACAUGGACGUUUACUUUGAGAAAAUAAGAGCGCUCAAAGCAGGCUGCUCAUAGCUUGAACGGAAUUUCAUGGGAUAGUGAAAGAUGAUCUCGCUGGUAGUGAAAAAACCACGAGGUAAUGAUUAAAAGAGACAGACGGUGGCAUUCGUACUGCUGCGUUAGAGGUGAAAUUCUUGGAUCGUAGCAAGACGAACAAUUGCGAAAGCAUUUGCCAAGAAUGUUUUCAUUAAUCAAGAACGAAAGUUGGAGGAUCGAAGGCGAUCAGAUACCGCCCUAGUUGCGACUUUAAACGAUGCCAACUAGCGAUUCGGCGAUGUCUUUCUAAUGACUCGCUGAGCAGCUCCCGGGAAACCAAAGUCUUUCGGUUCCGGGGGAAGUAUGGUUGCAAAGCUGAAACUUAAAGGAAUUGACGGAAGGGCACCACCAGGAGUGGAGCAUGCGGCUUAAUUUGACUCAACACGGGAAAGCUCACCCGUCCCGAACACUGUCAGGAUUGACAGAUUGAGAGCUCUUUCUUGAUUCAGUGGGUAGUGGUGCAUGG